rnacentral:precursor_RNA from 1 species
AAGGUUCAGUAGAAAGAGGAGCUCGAUGACUAUAGCUAGGGGAUCAUUCCGGUCGGCCGGGGGCAGCACAUUCCAGGGAAAAUCCGGCGAAACACCUCCAGAUCGCCAAGCUCCCCCGGAAUAGUCUCUCCGCCGAGCAUAUGCCAUCUCGGAUCCAUUUCCCUAAGGCUGCUAAAUGGCUCACUCUUGCUAGGCUGCUAGCUAUAUAUAUGUCAGUUAAUUUGGUCAUGUGACAAGUAUCAACUAUAGUGGUAGCAGUGUAGCCCAGCGCCGGCUGUGAAUUACAGGGCAGUUCACCUUUGGCACAAGGGCAAGCAGUAGAAACCAUGCGUGCUUGCUAGAGCUGGAAAUGAUGCUGGUAGCAUUGCAUGGUUCAGGGAUCACAGAUCUCGUGCCAAAGGAGAAUUGCCCUGCGAUUUUGUCUGCGCAGUACUGUCAGAUUUGGCUGCUUAUUUUCUCGCGGUAUUACCAGCUUCUCUUGGCCUAUAAUGUUCGUGGAGGCUACGUUUGUCAGUACCGUGGUCUGUGGCUUGUUCAAGCAGUUUGGAGUAAGGAUCAUUGCAUAUCUCAUAUCUGCU